AGCAAAAUGGAGUGGACAAAGGUUUAGGGGAAAUCCAACCUCAAAUAGGGAAAGAAGUCAUCUAGGAAUACCUGGCCACUCAAAACAAAUGCAAGUCCCCAGGGCCAGAUCAACUACAUCCAAGAGUAUUGAAGGAACUGGCAGAAAUCAUUUCGGAACUACUGGAAACGAUGUUUGAGAAUUCUUGAAGAACGGGACAAAUCCCAGCAGAUUGAAGGAGGGCAAAUGUGGACGACUCAAACAAUUACUGUCUGGUCAGCCUCACAUCGAUACCAGGCAAGAUUCUCGAAAAGGUCAUUAAGGAAGUGGUCUGCAAACCCUUAGAAAGGAAUGUGGUCAUCGCUAAUAGUCCACAUUUAUCAAAAACAAGUCAUGCCAGAUUAAUCUGAUCUCUUUUUUCAAUAGAUUUACAAGCUGGGUAGAUGCAGGGAACGCUGUGGAUGAAGUGUAUCUGGACUCCAGGAAGGCCUUCCUUCGACAAGGUCCCCUAUCACCUUCUGGCAAGGAAACUAGUCCAAUGUGGGCUAGGCAAAACUAUGCAGGAACAGCCCCCUCCUGGAAGAGACGGAACACAUUCCUGAUCCGUACCUGAAUCCAGAUUGCCUUUCCUGACUCACCAUUGCAGCGGUACCGCAGGUUGGACCAAAUGAUGUUUUCCUGGGAGAAGCAGAAGACGCCCAGGCGCCCACCCCGCAUUGUAGUGUCUAGCACGACCCCCGUGUCAGCCACCAGUUCGGGUCCUUCGUAGAAGCGAGCCCUAGAAGAGGAGACCGGCAAGACAAGCAAUUAAAUUGGUUCUUGAAGCGGAUACAGUGAUUUCUGAUGUUUUUCUUUGUCUCACUCCUACACAGCACAAAUUGAGAUGAUUAUUGACCUCUGGAUUUUGUACAUCACAGACCAUAAAGGAGAGCCCUAAAAUCAGUUCAUAAGUGUAUUUUCUAGAGCAAAACCCAGAUUGCCUUAAGCCUCAUGGACCAUCAAAUCCAAUGCACACUUCGAUUUUUAAAACCCUAGAACCAAAAAAAGUGUUUGCUGCCGAAUGUAAUGUGAAGCAGCAUAAAGUGCACUCUUUCGUCCCCGUCAGCCACACCUGCG